AGAGCCGAGAGAGAGGGUGAGAGAGAAGUCCAACUUUUAUGCUGGAAAAAGCUUUGGAGAAAUGGGUGUAUGAGAUCUAAUUGAAGAUAAAAGAGAGAAAUCAAGGAAUUAAAAAGAAAUUUAGUCAUGGAAGGUUAAAGGUCAUGGGCCAUUGUCUGCCUGAUUUAUCUGAUAUGCCCAGUCUAUCUGAUUUGCUUCUGCAGCCAUCUGUGAUCAAGCGUGUGACCAGGCUUAGAGGCUUCUGCCUAGAAUCAGUUUUGUUAGCCAACCUAUGUGCCUCCCGUGGAGGUUCCGAAUAUGUCAAGUGAUUAUUGCUAUGUGAUCUAAAGUUUAAGUUUUAUUUUUGUGUUUGGUUGAACAAGUCUUGUGUAUUUUGUAGAUAGGGUUAAGUCCCUUUUUGUCUAAUCUGUGUUUA